rnacentral:rRNA from 1 species
UGGGGAAUAUUGGACAAUGGGCGAAAGCCUGAUCCAGCAAUACCGCGUGUGUGAAGAAGGCCUUAGGGUUGUAAAGCACUUUCAAUAGGGAGGAAAAAGAGUAAGCCAAUACCUUGCUUAUUGACAUUACCUAUACAAGAAGCACCGGCUAACUCCGUGCCAGCAGCCGCGGUAAUACGGAGGGUGCAAGCGUUAAUCGGAAUUACUGGGCGUAAAGAGUGCGUAGGCGGCACGUUAAGUCAGAUGUGAAAGCCCUGGGCUCAACCUGGGAACUGCAUUUGAAACUGGCGAGCUCGAGUUGAGUAGAGGUAAGUGGAAUUUCAGGUGUAGCGGUGAAAUGCGUAGAUAUCUGAAGGAACACCAGUGGCGAAGGCGACUUACUGGACUCAAACUGACGCUGAGGUACGAAAGCGUGGGUAGCAAACA